rfam:Clostridium sp. CAG:169 genomic scaffold, scf119
UGACCACCCCAGUGCGGGUUAAGGCCAUACGGACAGCCGGGUCAACUGCCGA